UACGUAGGGGGCAAGCGUUGUCCGGAAUCAUUGGGCGUAAAGAGCGGGUAGGCGGCCCGGUAAGUCCGCUGUAAAAGUCCAGGGCUCAACCCUGGAAAGCCGGUGGAUACUGUCGGGCUAGAGUCCGGAAGAGGCGAGUGGAAUUCCUGGUGUAGCGGUGGAAUGCGCAGAUAUCAGGAGGAACACCGAUGGCGAAGGCAGGUCUCUGGGCCACUACUGACGCUGAGAAGCGAAAGCAUGGGGAGCAAACAGG
rnacentral:rRNA from 1 species